CAGGGUGGAGGCAACCUGCAGCCAGGGUUCACACUUCUGAGAAGGAGACAUAGCCAAACAGGGGCGUGGAGAGCCAGGGUACGCGGCAAAGCCGGUCGUGGCUCAACUGGUCCUCUUAACUACCAAGGGGACAGACGCUGGGUGCUGCUGGUCCUUUCGAGAGACCUUGUCGGGCUGCUGGGAAAGCCGAAAGAAGCGGGCACCCGGAGCCAACCUUCUGCUGCUGUUGGGGUGCCCGGUGGCUGGAGCAGGAAACGGAAGCAGGUGUCUUCCCCUUUCGCCUCCAUUUCCCGUCUACUGCCAAUGCGCUGACAGGAAGCCAGCUGGCCACGGGGUCUGGCAGAUGCAGCGUGGCAGGGUGUCCACACACUGCCCUAGAGUGCAACACAGAAGAGGGGCUUGGAGCCCGGAAAUGCUGCUUUUUACAAAUUGUCUUGUCCCAGGACAUCGUGUUUCAUUUUGCUCUCUUAUUUGCGUCUCUGCAGGAAGCAGGCCUUCAUCGAAUAGAGUGGUGUCGGUUCAGUUCUACAGCCCCCAAUCUUAACCUCAAAGGAAAGGCACUCGGCCUCACGGUGACCGUCCGCUUUCAGACAACGUGGCUCUCUGUGCAUCCCUCCGCUAAGUGAAGAAAGCAAGACUUCAUUUAUCCAGGAAUCCGUGACCAGAAAGCAACAUGACAUCACCUGGGCCUCACCCACAAUUCCCCAUUAGCGAAUCUCCUGCAGACACAAAGUAUGAAUCUAGAGGUCAGAAAAAACAGAUGCCUCCUGAACGGCUUCAUCGGAGUUCAGACUCGCUGCACAAUACACACAGGGUCCUUACUUGAUAUUCACUUCCCUCUGCCACAAUCAUUUCUAGGAUAUCUAGAAGCAGAGUAUUUCUUCCUGGGAGGGAAACAGUACACUUUCUAAUCCCAAUAAACAGUCCUUUCCAAUAAA